rnacentral:rRNA from 1 species
ACAUGCCUACAACAUAGCGUUAAUGCACCGAAUCUCAUUAGAACUCCGCAGUUAAGCACACUCGGACUAGAGUAGUACUGGUAUGGGUGACCUCUUAGGAAGUCCUAGUGUUUUACAUGCC